AAAGUCGUAACAAGGUUUCCGUAGGUGAACCUGCGGAAGGAUCAUUAAUAAACGGCAAAGCUUUCGAGCCUAGCUUUUAUAACAUCUUAACACCUGUGAACUAUUUGCCUUCGGGCUAACUUAAACAUAAUGUAAUGAAUGUAAACUAUUAUAAUAAAUACAACUUUCAACAACGGAUCUCUUGGCUCUC
rnacentral:misc_RNA from 1 species